CGCCACUGGGCUGAGGAGCCGGAGACGCAGGCUGACUAGGUGGCGGUGGCAGCGGAGCAGGAGCAGGGACCGGGCGCGGGCAGAGCGCAGCGGUGCGGUGUACUCUAAAGAACAAGCUUUCAGAUAUCUUUGCCAUAUUGACUCUGAGCCAUCAGGGGACUCAGGCUUAUGAGGAGGUACUGUCACACAAAGCAGCGUCUAGUGAAGACGACAAGAAAGAGGGGAAAGGAUCGGAAGAAGAAGCUAAAAUACUAUAGAAAACCAUGAGACCUAUCAGAUCUUUUGCUAAUGAUGAUCGCCAUGUAAUGGUGAAACAUUUGACAAUUUAUCCAUCUCCGGAGGAAGUUGAAGCUGUUCAGAAUAUGGUAUCUACUGUUGAGUGUGCUCUUAAACAUGUCUCAGAUUGGCUGGAUGAAACAAGGCACAAAAGCAGAGGGGGAGACAGAAGUAAAGAAGGAAGAGGCUGUAGACACCUAUUCCAAGGAUCAAGGUGGUCAGACAGUGUGUGGUGUAAUGAGGAUUGGCCUGGUUGCAAAAGGCUUGCUGAUUAAAGAUGAUAUGGACUUGGAGCUGGUUUUAAUGUGCAAAGGCAAACCUACAGAAACCCUGUUAAAUACAGUCAAAGAUAAUCUUCCUAUUCAGAUUCAGAAACUCACAGAAGAGAAAUAUCAAGUGGAACAAUGUGUAGAUGAGGCAUCUAUUAUAAUUCGGAAUACAAAAGAACCCACGCUAACUUUGAAGGUGAUACUUACUUCCCCUCUAAUUAGAGACGAAUUGGAGAAGGAUGGAGAAAAGGUUGCGAUGAAAGAUCCUCCAGACUUAUUGGACAGGCGGAAGUGCCUGAAUGCCUUGGCGUCUCUUCGACAUGCCAAAUGGUUUCAGGCAAGGGCAAAUGGAUUAAAGUCAUGUGUAACUGUCCUCCGCAUUCUCUGUGAUUUGUGCAACAGAGUCCCCACAUGGGCACCAUUAAAAGGAUGGCCACUAGAGCUUAUAUGUGAAAAGUCUAUAGGUACUUGUAAUAGACCUUUGGGCGCUGGGGAGGCCUUGAGACGAGUAAUGGAGUGUUUGGCAUCUGGAAUUCUACUUCCUGGGGGUCCUGGUCUUCAUGAUCCUUGUCAGCGAGAUCCAACAGAUGCUCUGAGCUAUAUGACCAUCUAGCAAAAAGAAGAUAUUACCCACAGUGCACAGCAUGCACUCAGACUAUCAGCCUUUGGUCAGAUUUAUAAAGUGCUGGAGAUGGACCCCCUUCCAUCUAGUAAGCCUUUUCAGAAAUAUUCCUGGUCAGUUACUGAUAAAGAAGGUGCUGGGUCUUCAGCUCUGAAGAGGCCAUUUGAAGAUGGAUUAGGGGAUGAUAAAGAUCCCAAUAAAAAGAUGAAACGAAACUUAAGGAAAAUUCUGGAUAGUAAAGCAAUAGACCUUAUGAAUGCACUAAUGAGGCUGAAUCAGAUCAGGCCUGGGCUUCAGUACAAGCUCUUAUCUCAGUCUGGCCCUGUCCAUGCCCCAGUCUUCACAAUGUCUGUAGAUGUCGAUGGUACAACAUAUGAAGCCUCAGGACCAUCCAAGAAAACAGAGAAGCUUCACGUAGCAGUGAAAGUACUGCAGGCAAUGGGAUACCCAGCGGGCUUUGAUGCAGAUAUUGAAUGUAUGAGUUCCGAUGAAAAGUCCGAUAACGAAGGCAAAAUUGAAACAGUGUCUUCAAACUCAAGCAAUAAUACUGGAAAUUCUACAACUGAAACCUCCAGUACCGUAGAGGUAAGAACUCAGGGCCCUAUUCUCAUAGCAAGUGGCAAAAAUCCUGUCAUGGAGCUCAAUGAAAAAAGAAGAGGUCUUAAGUAUGAACUCAUCUCGGAGACUGGUGGAAGCCAUGACAAACGCUUUGUGAUGGAGGUAGAAGUGGAUGGACAAAAAUUCAGAGGUGCAGGUCCAAAUAAGAAAGUGGCAAAGGCAAGUGGAGCUUUAGCUGCCCUGGAGAAACUGUUUUCUGGACCCAAUGCAGCAAAUAAUAAGAAAAAGAAGAUUAUCCCUCAGGCAAAGGGUGUUGUGUAUACAGCUGUGUCCGCAGCAGUCCAAGCUGUUUGGGGCAGAGGAAGAGGAACUCUAACAAGGAGGGCUUUUGUUGGGGCCACAGCUGCUCCCGGCUACAUAGCUCCAGGCUAUGGAACACCCUAUGGCUACAGCACAGCUGCCCCUGCCUAUGGUUUACCCAAGAGAAUGGUUCUGUUACCUGUUAUGAAAUUCCCAACAUAUCCUGUUGCCCACUACUCAUUCUUUUAGCAAAUGACAGAAGCUAAUUCCUAUUCCAACAACAACCCAGUACAUACAGAAUGUUAGUGAAAAGGCCUUUUUAUCCUGCUUUCUUUGAACACAUACUUGAUCAAAAUUAUUUGUAAAGAACAUCUUUUCCUACUUUUUGAUUUUAACAAAUGCAAAUUUAGUUCUCUAAAACUUGAAAACAAACAAAAAAGAAACUAGUUCUGUGAAACGGUACCUCAUUUCCGGAAAAUAACUUAUACCAGCCCUUCUGUUCUAGGGAAGUAAGUCUAGCAGUUCAAAGUUUAAGUUUUAAGAGGAGUAUCAGAUUAUGCAAAAUUAAAUUUGUGAAGGAUGUAUAGAGUCUCAAACACUGAUCACAAAUAAACUGCUUUGUU